GUUUAGCCCGACGAGUGUUUGAAGCUCAAAGAUUUCGGCAGCUGGGAAUCACUACCGUUUCGAAUCGUCCGGAUGCCGCAAAGCGCAAAAAAUCUGAUUAAGGCCGUUUCUCUAGGAGUUUAUUUGUCAGGAGCGAUUGUUUAGCGGUGAUUAGUAUGUAUGCUGAUGCUUGCAGCCUCGCAGCUACGGCUGGUUGUGGUACCUGUGCAGAGCAAACCGGGGGCUCGCGAACACCCUUGCAAUAGUUUAACAUUAUCGCAGUAAGUUUCUGCGAAUUUGGCUGAGCGACUGGUUAAAAAAACACAAUCUGGAGAGGAUGGUCUGUUUAAUCAUCCUACUAGUUUGACUCUCCCUGCAAACCUGGACUGGAAGCGACUGGAAGAUGAAUGCCGAUGUCAUCAGCAGCGAAGCCCUACAUUCUACCAUCUGAGAUCCGCAGAACCGGCUCUUCGUUCACCGGCAGACCUAAAUAACGCCUUAAAACAUGGCAGCGUGCUAAAUAAGGACCGUGAUCCACACCCAUCCAUCACCAUCCCGCUACAGAGUGUGAGAUUCACCUUGUUCCCCACAUCCAUUUCCAUAAAAUCCGUUACACGGCAGCAUAAAACAUGGAAUCCGUUCCAUGUAAAAAAAAAAAAAAAAGUCUGCAGCGUGGAUGAAUGGAUGAAAAGGCGAAAUAACAUUAAACAUGUCAGUCCUGUGUGAAAAAUAUGUCUGCGGCUUGAAUGAAAGGAUGGAUGCCGUGAAGACAUCCAGACCCUACCCCGCGCCGUGUACAGACCUCACUU